CAGCCAUUUAUCGGGGUACACAACCCUUUAUUCCGGCACACAGCCAAUUACCCAGGUACAAAACCCUUUAUUCCAGCACACAGACAAUUAUCCGGGUACAAAACCCUUUAUAAAAUUCUGUACACUACGUCGUAUAUGUCAACACUUACUAUAGCUAGUUUGACAAUGCGAUCGGAACUAAAAUACUACGGUCAAUAAACGGAAAAAAUACCAUCAUAUGAUUUAUAAUCCAUUAAGCUUGUGGUUUUUGAGGGAUAUUUGGUGGCUCAUUUCAACCAUUGACAAUCUCGGUGCAAUUUAAAAACACCCUUAGCUACCGGGAGUAAAACCACCCAAAACCCUGGUAGAAGAUUGCAGCCUGUCACUAUGAAAUCUAGGAUUUCAUUUUCGAAAGGAAAAUUUUACACAAAUCGAUAGCUCACGGGCACAUGUUCGAGUGCGGCACAGAACUUAUAAUAUUCUUCUCUAAGAUAUACUUCGAUGCAGAUCCAACCAUCUCCAUCGUUGUAAAUGCGGCACAAUUGAAAGGUCGUGUCUUCACUGUCGUCGAGGAGUUCAGCCAAGGACUUAUAAUCCAUUAAGCUUGCGGUUGUUGAGGAACAUCUGGUGGCUUAUUCCAACCAUUGACAAUCUCGGUGCAAUUUGAAAACACCUUUAGCGACCGGGAGUAAAACCACGCAAAACCCUGGUAAAAGAUAGCAGCUUAUCAUUACAAGUAAUCUCGGAAUUCUUCUACCUGACGUCACACGCGUCAGUGGACCAAGAGCUACUCGAUUCGCCCCUGGAGCACUGAACGUUUUCGGUCUCGUAGAAAAAUGCACAUUUAAUCAGACAAACAUCCUUGAAACUGAACUCAUGACCUAUAUUUUUCACGACACAGGUAAAUCCCACUGAGCUGUCACCAAUUCGUUACGUCCAAACUCUGCUAUCAAAUUUCUUCCGUUUAUACUCUACACUUAUUUGUUGAGGUAUAGGCCCGUUACCUGUCGUUGAAUGGUUGAAACCAUUAGCCGCGAAAUAUAUGUCAGGUUUGAAAAAUGAUUCACUCGGUAAACAGAUUUUAGCUUGUAAAUUAAACUUGAAAGUUUAUUAUAAUUCGUCGAUAUUUAAUUGUUCAUGGACGACAUAUUCUCUUAUUUGAUCUCUAGAAUAAACAACAAUGAUCCUGUAUUGCAGUUCGUGGUAGAGGCGGAAGAUUUGAAAAGCCUGAUAUUGAGAAUCGAAAAACAC